UUAAGCGACUAAGCGUACACGGUGGAUGCCCUGGCAGUCAGAGGCGAUGAAGGACGUGCUAAUCUGCGAUAAGCGUCGGUAAGGUGAUAUGAACCGUUAUAACCGGCGAUUUCCGAAUGGGGAAACCCAGUGUGAUUCGUCACACUAUCAUUAACUGAAUCCAUAGGUUAAUGAGGCGAACCGGGGGAACUGAAACAUCUAAGUACCCCGAGGAAAAGAAAUCAACCGAGAUUCCCCCAGUAGCGGCGAGCGAACGGGGAGGAGCCCAGAGCCUGAAUCAGUGUGUGUGUUAGUGGAAGCGUCUGGAAAGGCGCGCGAUACAGGGUGACAGCCCCGUACACAAAAAUGCACAUACUGUGAGCUCGAUGAGUAGGGCGGGACACGUGGUAUCCUGUCUGAAUAUGGGGGGACCAUCCUCCAAGGCUAAAUACUCCUGACUGACCGAUAGUGAACCAGUACCGUGAGGGAAAGGCGAAAAGAACCCCGGCGAGGGGAGUGAAAAAGACCUGAAACCGUGUACGUACAAGCAGUGGGAGCACAGAGCAAUCUGUGUGACUGCGUACCUUUUGUAUAAUGGGUCAGCGACUUAUAUUCUGUAGCAAGGUUAACCGAAUAGGGGAGCCGAAGGGAAACCGAGUCUUAACUGGGCGUUAAGUUGCAGGGUAUAGACCCGAAACCCGGUGAUCUAGCCAUGGGCAGGUUGAAGGUUGGGUAACACUAACUGGAGGACCGAACCGACUAAUGUUGAAAAAUUAGCGGAUGACUUGUGGCUGGGGGUGAAAGGCCAAUCAAACCGGGAGAUAGCUGGUUCUCCCCGAAAGCUAUUUAGGUAGCGCCUCGUGAAUUCAUCUCCGGGGGUAGAGCACUGUUUCGGCAAGGGGGUCAUCCCGACUUACCAACCCGAUGCAAACUGCGAAUACCGGAGAAUGUUAUCACGGGAGACACACGGCGGGUGCUAACGUCCGUCGUGAAGAGGGAAACAACCCAGACCGCCAGCUAAGGUCCCAAAGUCAUGGUUAAGUGGGAAACGAUGUGGGAAGGCCCAGACAGCCAGGAUGUUGGCUUAGAAGCAGCCAUCAUUUAAAGAAAGCGUAAUAGCUCACUGGUCGAGUCGGCCUGCGCGGAAGAUGUAACGGGGCUAAACCAUGCACCGAAGCUGCGGCAGCGACACUGUGUGUUGUUGGGUAGGGGAGCGUUCUGUAAGCCUGUGAAGGUGUGCUGUGAGGCAUGCUGGAGGUAUCAGAAGUGCGAAUGCUGACAUAAGUAACGAUAAAGCGGGUGAAAAGCCCGCUCGCCGGAAGACCAAGGGUUCCUGUCCAACGUUAAUCGGGGCAGGGUGAGUCGACCCCUAAGGCGAGGCCGAAAGGCGUAGUCGAUGGGAAACAGGUUAAUAUUCCUGUACUUGGUGUUACUGCGAAGGGGGGACGGAGAAGGCUAUGUUGGCCGGGCGACGGUUGUCCCGGUUUAAGCGUGUAGGCUGGUUUUCCAGGCAAAUCCGGAAAAUCAAGGCUGAGGCGUGAUGACGAGGCACUACGGUGCUGAAGCAACAAAUGCCCUGCUUCCAGGAAAAGCCUCUAAGCAUCAGGUAACAUCAAAUCGUACCCCAAACCGACACAGGUGGUCAGGUAGAGAAUACCAAGGCGCUUGAGAGAACUCGGGUGAAGGAACUAGGCAAAAUGGUGCCGUAACUUCGGGAGAAGGCACGCUGAUAUGUAGGUGAAGUCCCUCGCGGAUGGAGCUGAAAUCAGUCGAAGAUACCAGCUGGCUGCAACUGUUUAUUAAAAACACAGCACUGUGCAAACACGAAAGUGGACGUAUACGGUGUGACGCCUGCCCGGUGCCGGAAGGUUAAUUGAUGGGGUCAGCGCAAGCGAAGCUCUUGAUCGAAGCCCCGGUAAACGGCGGCCGUAACUAUAACGGUCCUAAGGUAGCGAAAUUCCUUGUCGGGUAAGUUCCGACCUGCACGAAUGGCGUAAUGAUGGCCAGGCUGUCUCCACCCGAGACUCAGUGAAAUUGAACUCGCUGUGAAGAUGCAGUGUACCCGCGGCAAGACGGAAAGACCCCGUGAACCUUUACUAUAGCUUGACACUGAACAUUGAGCCUUGAUGUGUAGGAUAGGUGGGAGGCUUUGAAGUGUGGACGCCAGUCUGCAUGGAGCCGACCUUGAAAUACCACCCUUUAAUGUUUGAUGUUCUAACGUGGACCCGUGAUCCGGGUUGCGGACAGUGUCUGGUGGGUAGUUUGACUGGGGCGGUCUCCUCCUAAAGAGUAACGGAGGAGCACGAAGGUUGGCUAAUCCUGGUCGGACAUCAGGAGGUUAGUGCAAUGGCAUAAGCCAGCUUGACUGCGAGCGUGACGGCGCGAGCAGGUGCGAAAGCAGGUCAUAGUGAUCCGGUGGUUCUGAAUGGAAGGGCCAUCGCUCAACGGAUAAAAGGUACUCCGGGGAUAACAGGCUGAUACCGCCCAAGAGUUCAUAUCGACGGCGGUGUUUGGCACCUCGAUGUCGGCUCAUCACAUCCUGGGGCUGAAGUAGGUCCCAAGGGUAUGGCUGUUCGCCAUUUAAAGUGGUACGCGAGCUGGGUUUAGAACGUCGUGAGACAGUUCGGUCCCUAUCUGCCGUGGGCGCUGGAGAACUGAGGGGGGCUGCUCCUAGUACGAGAGGACCGGAGUGGACGCAUCACUGGUGUUCGGGUUGUCAUGCCAAUGGCACUGCCCGGUAGCUAAAUGCGGAAGAGAUAAGUGCUGAAAGCAUCUAAGCACGAAACUUGCCCCGAGAUGAGUUCUCCCUGACCCUUUAAGGGUCCUGAAGGAACGUUGAAGACGACGACGUUGAUAGGCCGGGUGUGUAAGCGCAGCGAUGCGUUGAGCUAACCGGUACUAAUGAACCGUGAGGCUUAACCUU
rnacentral:rRNA from 1 species